rnacentral:rRNA from 1 species
UACAGAGGUCUCAAGCGUUGUUCGGAUUCAUUGGGCGUAAAGGGUGCGUAGGCGGCGCGGUAAGUCGGGUGUGAAAUCCCCAGGCUCAACUUGGGAACUGCAUCCGAUACUGGAUGGCUUGAAUCCGGGAGAGGGAUGCAGAAUUCCAGGUGUAGCGGUGAAAUGCGUAGAUAUCUGGAGGAAUACCGGUGGCGAAGGCGGCAUCCUGGACCGGCAUUGACGCUGAUGAGCGAAAGCUAGGGGAGCAAACGGG